rnacentral:lncRNA from 1 species
UCGUUGUAGUAUAGUGGUAAGUAUUCCCGCCUGUCACGCGGGUGACCCGGGUUCGAUCCCCGGCAACGGCGUUUUGUUUUGCUCACUGGUUCCGCUCCAGCACAGUUCAACUGAUUCUUCCUCCCUUGUCCAUUUUUUUCAGCCUCAUUAAGAAGCGCAGAUAACCUGUUCGACGAUUUGCGUGGGAGACAGCUUUCGAUACUCUCGAUUCGAUUUUCGGCGAUUUGCUUCUUAACUACUUCGUUUUGGCAAGGGAAAACUAGCUCGUUCUACACCUUCGAGCAGCAGCGACAAACAAUCAACUCUGCAUUUAUUAUUACUAAGAACCCUAACGGGGGAUGAUUGAACACAAGUAAGUUGUACUUUACGCAACCAAUCUCUGUACAAAAUCUUUCAUCUACUAAUAUCUAGCUAGCUCUCAUUGUUCUCCAAUUGCAAUCAUUUUGGGGGGGACCGGUCUCAAAUACAUCAUAUCGCAUGCCAUGUUUGGUUGGAAUCGGUCCCAAUUACAAUUGACGAUUGCAGAGAAACCAUUAGUCCUUUGAUUCAUUAUGAUAUCUUCCAGCCAUUUCUACUAACUGGCAUCUUAUGUGGUCUGUGGUAUUAUGAUCCUCAGAGGACCGCAAGUUAGGAAGGGAAAAGAGUGCCUCUUCAACCUACCCUUCCUACUACCUUCCUCAAAAUAGCAUAGGGAAACACUAUCUUCCAUUUCUUUAGGUGUAUUGUAUGUAGUAGUCAUCAUUAGUUAUGAUAAUAAUUCAAGCUAACAGAGAACUUGUUUUCAAACUCCUUAUCAUCAUGGUUUGGAAUAUAAUGACUUUGCCCUAGACCAAAGUCUUCUCCUUUUGUUUUCCCCUCUUAGAUUAUUACUGAUGUAGUUGUUGUAAUCAGGCUUCAUGACCCCAAUGUCAGAUGAUCAUUGGCUAGAUCUUCCAAGAAAGAUUCAAGUCAGUCAUCAUUCUUUGGACUUACUCUGAGAGUUUUGCUAAAUUUGCAACUCAUGGAAACUGAGUUGUUUCAGUGCAUUUGGUAGGCUUUUCUCUCACAGGCCCUCCUUUGUAUGCAAUGCCAACUCUGAUAAGACAUUCUUUAUUACAUUUUUAUACAAUUUUGACAUAGUUUCAACAAUGGUCAACCAGCAAUCUUUUACCAAGAGUAUGAGUAUAUAUCAAUAUAUGUCAUGUCCAUAAGUUUGAGUCAUUGUGGGUUACCACUUCCCACGAUUUUGUUCUUUUCAAAACAAAUGAAAUCACAUUGACUUUUCUCUUCUUAAUAAAUUAUUUUUCUUUUUGAGUGGUGACGUUGCCCUCUUGAUUUGGUUCCUCUCCCAUCACACAGAAUCCAGUUGAAAAGUCCCUUUUAUGAUCUUAACACAAUAUACAAUCCACCAGAUUUGUUCUUUUUCAUUUUUACUCUCUUGCAAUUGUGCCUCUGAAAAAAUUGCCCUUUCAUGACUAAAGAGUGGUUAUCUAAUUCUAUGCUGGGAUUCGAGGGGAAUAGUUGCAGAUUUUGUUGAAUCUACACCUGUAAAUGCUUCUUCUGGUUUCCUUUACUGCAUAUAGCUUUAGGUCUCCUCCAUAAGCUUGGUGGUUCUUGGUGUGUGUAUGAUGGUUAUUCAUGUGAUACAUUAAUGGUGACUAGCUCCAUGCCUAUCAUAAGUAUAAUAAGUUUUAGUUCUACUAUAUGUCUUGAAAUCUGAGUAUAGGUGAACAAUUUUUAUUAAGACAAAGGAAAGCAGUAUAUAUAGCUAGUUGUUUCCUUCCUAGUGACGCAUAGCAGAGAUGAACACUGCUUAAACAAUUCAUAAAGAUGAUUAGCUCCCUUUUCUAAGGUAGAUUUAGCUACUUUGUCUGAGAUAGUACUUAUCUAAGAGAAUUUUCUAUUAGAUGCUUACUGUAGAAAUUCUUAGGGUCAAAUUCUUCCCUGUGAACCUUUUCUCAUUAGGAAAGUUCUGGUGUUAAUUACAUGAAAUAAUAUUCUAAUGAUGCAAUUAAUUAGUUCAUUCAUAACUGUGUUAGCAGGCGAGUAGUUAACUUGCAAGAUAUAAGCUAAACCAGAAAGCAAAACUAAAUGAAGAGAAUAGUAGAAUGAUAAUUAAUAUUAUAUUCCUUCCUGCAGAUGAGCCUGAUACAACCUUCUAGUUCAGGAACCCAUAUCUUAAAACCACCCCAAAAGAGAUAGAUAUAAUAUGAUAAUAAACAGGGAAAAUAGAAGGCAAAUGUAGUAACCUUUGGAAGGAAGACAGCUACUACUUCUACUUGUACUAUUUAACCGAAACUGGAACAAACUACUACUGUUGACACUACGAAUUUUACACAAAAGAGGCAAAGGCGGUGUUUACUGGUCCUAGUGGGGUCAUGAUAUCACCUUCUUUCCCAUUUUGUUCUAAUUCCACCAGUUGUUGUACAUCAGUUACUGUUGGAGUUGGCAUGAUUCUGGGAGGAGCUUGAACCACCCAGGUUGAGGUCAGGAAUAGUACUGCUGUUAGGAGAAGAUUUCCCUUUUGCAUUUCCCUUGGAGAGCUUCUGUUUGAGUUCAGAGAGCAAUGCUUGAUUCUCCUGGUUGAGAAGUUGUGCUUUCUUCCGCAGCCUCUCAUUUUCUUUCAUUAUGAAGCAGUUUUGCAGGUACAGCUUUGAGUUCAGUCUCUCCAUUGCCUUUAGAAUAUUGAGACCUGCCUGAAUACACCCAAAAAGAGAGAUGAUGUUACAUUAGUUUAAUGUUAGAUAGCUCUAAAUAAAAUAUUACAUUCAGAUGGAGACAAUGUUGCAAUGCCAUGUUGUGGAAAAGCAACAUUUUUUAAUAUUAGACAGUGAUAAUGAUAACGUUUCCAGAAUAUCUGCAACAUAGAAGCUUACAGGACAGAACUAAAAGCUAAGCAAACACAUAAAAUAAGCAGAAAUGCCUUGACUUUUCAACUAUAGUAACAUGCAAAGUUAUCCAUAUGGAACAUGGAAAGAUGAAAAGAAAACAACACAAAACAAAACUGAUGGGUAAACAGUCUAUGUCCAUUUACCAGAAAAAAGUUGGCCAAGAAUUGAGAUGAUGAAACAGAGCUGCUGUGAUGAACAAGUGGCAAUGGUGAAUGUGGAGCUUGGUUUGAUAAUAUAGAGAGGAAAGUUGUAUGGGGGUCGUCUAGAAAACAAAAGGUAAUGAGAAUGUCUGCAGAUAAGGAAUAACAGGUUGUCCAAAUCUAGAAGGUCUCUUUGGGUUUCCCAAACAUGAAAGCAAAGGAUAAAAGACUAGUAAGAAUGACUCAAACGACACAGUGAAGUAGUGGUCAGUGUCUGAAGUCUGAACCAAAAACAAAGAUGGUUCCCUUCACCUUGAAUGAAUGACCGACCAUUGAUGAAAUGUCAAAGGGAUGUGGAGAGAAAGACAAGCAGCUAGACGUUGAAACCAAUGAGGACAAAGAGAUAAAACAGAACACAUUAGAAAACUAACAGAAAGAAAGCAGAACAUUCCUUCCUCAAACUGAGGUGAAAGUAACAGACAAGUCAAAGAUGAAAAAAAAAACCAGCAAUGUGAGCUGAAACUAAACCAUACGUUUAACUUUCUUUCUUUGUGUAACAAGCAAGGAGAGAAUGUAGAAGUAGAAGUAGAAGGAGAGACAAAAGCAGAGAAAGGUGGGGUCUUUAUUGUCCUUCUUUCUCUCUUUAUGUUUUCAAAAAAGAUCACCUUUUUCAAGCAAGUGAGUUAGAGAAGAAGGCUGAGAGGUAGUUCCCCUGGCUUCUUUUGCUGCUGCUGCUGCUGUUGGUAAACGAGAACAAGUAGCAGUAUUGCAGUAAGUUAGCUUCUUUGCUGCUGCUGCUGCUGCUGCUGUUGGUAAACGAGAACAAGUAGCAGUAUUGCAGUAAGUUAGCGUGGAAAGAAAAGAAGUGAAGGGACAAAGAGAACAAACGAGGGGAGUGGGUUAUUAUAUAGAGAGAGGGCCAAAAAGCUGGAAAGGAAGAAGCUUUCUGAAUUUUGAGAGGCUUUGGCCGUAUGGGUUUGGAAGAAGAAGAAGAGGGGACAUGCUUCUCUUCCCUGACACAACAAUCAUGCAUUUUCUUUUCUGUAAGCAAGGGAAGGCGGCCGGCUAAACUUAAUGCCAGCCAAAAGAAAACUGUAAAAUUCAAUGUUAAAACUUUUUAAUUCAAUAUUUUCUUCUGAAUGAUGGUGAUGAUGAAGGAAAGGGGGGUAUGAGGUCAUGUGAAUGAUGAUGGGUAUGGAAGAGGGGCAUUUUGGUCACAUUAGCUGCCAUUAUUGACAUUUAGAGGGACAAUUAUGAGGAGUUUUGGCCUCUCUGCGUAAAAAAAAUAAAAUGAUGGGGGGGUGGGCUAAAGGGGCCGUCCCCCAAAGAUUCGCAAUGAUGGUCUGGAUUGGUUCGAACGUCGAACCAUCAUCACCACACACAAUUACACACUUGCUUCAACCCCUUCCUCUUCACCAUCUUCUUAUUGUGAUUAUGAUGACUACAAUUUUGGACCCUUUGGCCUUCCCACUUUCCCCUAUUAUUUCUUGGUUUGGUAACUGUUGGCUUGUAAUUAUGAUUUCUUCUUUUUGCCGUAAUAAGUUAUAUUUUUAACUAUUUUGAAGGGUACCAAAAGGCACUGUAGCUCACUCACUACUAGAGGAGAGGUACGUCAAUAUCCUCAAUGCAUUAUUGGGUUUCUCCUCUAAAUACAACUUCAAUGUGGUUUAAUGCUGAAUGUUAUUAGUUUUGAUGUCGGAAUCUAUCAUAUUGGAACUUAGGAUUCUUAUUCCAAUGUCGGUGGUUUUACAUAAUUUGUGCACUACUUGAGUUGAGUCUAGCUACAAACACGAGUCUCGUUCUGUCACAUGCAUGCUUUCUAUACGUAGAUGGUGGCCAUACCAUAGUUAAUGCCCUUCAGCAGCAGCUUUCUAAAUCAUGAUAUGGCGUUUUGUUUUGAAGUUAUUAGUAGCAACAAUCAUAAUAACUUGGUAAUAAUAAGCCAUGGCAUCAUAAGUUAAAACAGCUAGCAUUUUGAAACAAGUGGGGAGGAGAUGCAGAUGAUGAAUUACUAAAGAGGGGGGGCCUCAACGUGAAACAUCAUGGCUUUCCCUCCUACGCCAGACUGUGCCUUGUAAUUUUUUGCACGGUGCUCUGUUUUUUUUCCUAAAAAAUCCUCAAGAGAAAAAGGGCAAAUUCGUCAUUUAAAAUUUAUAGGGUACCCCCUCGUGGAGCUCGUUCACACAAACUGGGAAGUGACGAAUUGCUAUGAAUUUGAAAAUGCAGGGAGAGGGGAUUUUUGAUGAGGUGUUGUUUGUUUAUUAACAUUAAUUAACAUUCUUUUUUGUAGAUUUUUGUUUUCUUGUAUGUAUAUGUUUCUCUGUGUGCAGGAAAAAGUAAAACCAAACAGACAUAUUAACUGCUGAGAUGAUGAUUGCUUCUGCAAACACUAUCAUAAAUACGAAAAAUAGUGGGUUGAGCUUUCCUCAUUUUAUGCCUAGCUGAGCUGCUAAUUGAGUCUCUUGAAUGGACUCGAGACAGCUAAGCUAUAUGGAGCUUGCUUUCCUUUUUCUAACUUUUCGUUGUGGUUUGAAAUGGGUUUUGUGUUAGUGAUUUAAAUAUUGAUUAAGAAACACUAAUAUAAUUAGUUUGUCACCAUCUUAGUUAAUUAAAAGCUUUUAGGGUGGGAAUGUUUGCAACAAAAGGGACAUAGGAUGGACCAUCUAAUGUGGGUUCUGCAUGCUCUUUCUUUGUCUACUUCUUAUUCUUUUUUGUAGGCACUUUCAACACUAUUUAGCUAGAUGACUAAUCAAGCUCCCUAAGUCCAAUGAGCAUGGUGAAUAAUCACAAUGCCUACAAGAGGAUGAUGUAAGAGCACUUGGUCCGGACAAGCGUGCGCUUCAGACGUCUUUUCCUGAUACAAGGUAUCGCGUGAGAGAUACCAAAAAUAGCGCACCAACUUCCUGUUGCAUGCCACUUCCGGUACGAUUCUACUAUAGGUAACUCUCGUUUGUGGAGAAUAUGUGAUACGAUAUUACCACAAAUCAUUCCACCAAUUGUUUCCUCUAAAUUUUUGUAUUCAUUUGCACACAUGAUGUGGGAUACUCAGAUUUGUCUCAUAGAUUAGGGUGAACAAUGACACCCAUAAAAGUAAAACUAGAAAGUAGUUUUGAAGGGGCGGUUGGUCCCAAGGUGACAAGGAAGUUUAAGUAAUUGAGAGUUUCCCAGUUUUGUUUCUUUCACGAGUAGUUUGUUUCUAGUUCCAGACAGGUUAGUAUUUGCAAUGAGUAUUUUGCCAUUUUUACAAUUUAUAUUUAUAUAUAUGCAUAAUGAUCAUCAAUUAUGGCUGUGCUAUUUCACCC